GUUCGCCCCGCCCCGCGCUAGCCGCGGCGCGCAGGCGCAGGGCCCACUGCCGGACGCGAGAAGCCCUGGGGCGCCCGGGGGCCGGUCGGAGGCGUGGGGCGGGGCUAGGGUCUCGGCGGACGUGGCCGCGGAAUUCCGGCGUGUGUGUGAAGGGUGCGGGCCUGCGUCGAGGGUGGAAGUCGGCGGGGCCCUGGGAAGCUGUCGGGAAGUGAGGCGGGGGAGGUGGUUUACGGCUUUCGGGUUGCUUUUUUCUGGGUCCGCAUUGGGUCGUCCGCCUCCAGAUCUCGAGGGUGGCCUUCCUACCCUCUCAGCCUUGGUGCUCUGCGAGGUCUGGGACGGAGCCAAAGUGCAGCCCCGGGGCCCCGCGGCGUCGGGAUCCGCCGGCGCAGACCCCGUUCUUCCAAUGCCAGAAGCUUCCAGUGUGGGGUAGGGGGCGGGACGUGGGAUGCUUGACAAACCUGUAACAUCACGAAGACUCCCAACUCCGCAGAGCAGUUUCCAGCCUGUUGGAAUAAACGCUCCACCGAAACAGAGCUCGAGUGUUUAAGCCGUGGCAUAGUUUUUUCCUCUUGAAAGUUACCAUUCGUAUUAACGUUUUAACUUGUACUAAAAGUAAGGACCCGCGAUUGCCCUCGGAAAGUUGCCGAGGGGGGAGGUUUCCCGGUUGAAACGGAGAUGAAAACGAACAUGCUUAAUAUUUGCUAUCUCGCUGCCGGACCGGAAUGGUGUUUCCUAAACUGUUCUAUGGAACAUUAGUCCUUUGCAAAUGUUAAUGGAUGCUUUGUGGAAAAAAUUUCCUGCAUCAGUACUGGGGAAACACACACCUGCUGCUGUGAGGUUUUUGCAGGUACAUCUGUGUAGCAUUCUUGCCGAAAACACUGAGCCUGAAUCUGUGAGGAACACUCAGAUAAAUUCACAAUGUGAUCUAUUUGGACUUUUCAGUAUAAGGUCAAAGCACAGAAGAAAU